rnacentral:rRNA from 1 species
AGAGUUUGAUCCUGGCUCAGGACGAACGCUGGCGGCGUGCCUAAUACAUGCAAGUCGAACGAAGCUUUCUUUCACCGAAUGCUUGCAUUCACCGAAAGAAGCUUAGUGGCGAACGGGUGAGUAACACGUAGGCAACCUGCCCAAAAGAGGGGGAUAACACUUGGAAACAGGUGCUAAUACCGCAUAACCAUGAACACCGCAUGAUGUUCAUGUAAAAGACGGCUUUUGCUGUCACUUUUGGAUGGGCCUGCGGCGUAUUAACUUGUUGGUGGGGUAACGGCCUACCAAGGUGAUGAUACGUAGCCGAACUGAGAGGUUGAUCGGCCACAUUGGGACUGAGACACGGCCCAAACUCCUACGGGAGGCAGCAGUAGGGAAUCUUCCACAAUGGACGAAAGUCUGAUGGAGCAACGCCGCGUGAAUGAAGAAGGCCUUCGGGUCGUAAAAUUCUGUUGUCAGAGAAGAACGUGCGUGAGAGUAACUGUUCACGUAUUGACGGUAUCUGACCAGAAAGCCACGGCUAACUACGUGCCAGCAGCCGCGGUAAUACGUAGGUGGCGAGCGUUGUCCGGAUUUAUUGGGCGUAAAGGGAACGCAGGCGGUCUUUUAAGUCUGAUGUGAAAGCCUUCGGCUUAACCGAAGUAGUGCAUUGGAAACUGGAAGACUUGAGUGCAGAAGAGGAGAGUGGAACUCCAUGUGUAGCGGUGAAAUGCGUAGAUAUAUGGAAGAACACCAGUGGCGAAAGCGGCUCUCUGGUCUGUAACUGACGCUGAGGUUCGAAAGCGUGGGUAGCAAACAGGAUUAGAUACCCUGGUAGUCCACGCCGUAAACGAUGAGUGCUAAGUGUUGGAGGGUUUCCGCCCUUCAGUGCUGCAGCUAACGCAUUAAGCACUCCGCCUGGGGAGUACGGUCGCAAGACUGAAACUCAAAGGAAUUGACGGGGGCCCGCACAAGCGGUGGAGCAUGUGGUUUAAUUCGAAGCAACGCGAAGAACCUUACCAGGUCUUGACAUCUUCUGACAAUUCCAGAGAUGGAACGUUCCCUUCGGGGACAG